UUGGCAAAGCUGGAAAAAAAAAAGGUCUUUUAGAACAGCUUGUUUAGUAAAGAAGCAAGUGUAGAGUUUUACUUUACAUUUCCUUAACGGACAAGGUUGGGGAAAUCCCUUCCUAUUGUUAGCAUGACAUGAGAUCUUGUGUUUGAAGACUUGCAGAAAGAUAUCUCAUGUGAUGACUAAUCUCACUUGUUUUUUCUAUUUUUCUAUCACCGUAACUGUGAUGUUUGAGGACAGCUGGUGUCCUUAGAGCUGAAGACAUCCUAUGUUUGUUUGUUCCAUAUAAGUCUACAGACUGAGCCAGCAAGGAUGGCAGUGAAGCUAAACUUGGAGCAGAGUCUUAUUCCUGAUGAACUGAGAACAGUUGGACUUUCAAGUUCUGCACUGAAUUGGAAAUGUUACAUCCCCAAGCCCAGAUUUUUCUCUGAUCCAAAAGGGGUGCUCAGAGGAGGGAAGAAAUCUUAAUGAGAUUUAGUGCCUAGUCUGGCUUUGCAGCUGCUUCUGUUUCGGCUUUAUGAGGUGACAAGCCAAACUGUCCAACAAAACAUCACUGAGUUGUCACUUCUGCCCAUGGCAGAUGCCUGAAAAGGUCAGACAAUUGCCUCCAGUUAGCGCAUUGAUUUCUUGUGUUUCAUUGAAGUUACCUACUUUUGUCAUGAAAAUGUUCAUAAUCAGAUGGAGAAGAACAUGAGUCCUUCCUACUGGAGUGUUGGUAGAUGCUGGAGCAUGUCCAGAGAAGGGCAAUGAAGGUGGUGAAGGGUCUGGAGCACAAGACUUAGGAGGAGAGGCUGUAGUAGGCAGCUUAUAACUGAUCAAAAUUAUAAAGGAGG